rnacentral:rRNA from 20 species
CGCCUUUGGAAUAAGAUCAAAAGGUCGGACCUGCCCGGUGACUUAAGGUUAAACGGCUGCAGUACUCUGACUGUGCAAAGGUAGCAAAAUCAAUUGUUCAUUAAUUGUGGACUGGAAUCAACGGUUUGACGAUAGAAAAGCUGUCUCUUUUUACUGUCUCCGAAAUUAUCUAAGAAGUGAAGAGACUUUUAUGAUUUAGCGGGACGAGAAGACCCCGUUGAGCUUUAGUAGCAAAAUUUUUUAUAUUUUAACCUACUUUGGUUGGGGCAACCAUUUUUUAUUUUAUAGCAAAAGUAAAACUUUUUUGAGUUGAAUCUUGUUAUGAUCCUUAUUUUUAAGAUUAAUAGAAUAAGUUACCACGGGGAUAACAGCGUAAUUUUUUUUGAGAGUUCUUAUUGACAAAAAAGUUUGCGACCUCGAUGUUGGAUCAUAGUUUCCUGGGGGUGCAGCAGCUCCUAAAGGUUGGUUUGUUCAACCAUUAAAACUAU